rnacentral:rRNA from 1 species
UACGUAGGGUGCAAGCGUUGUCCGGAAUUAUUGGGCGUAAAGAGCUCGUAGGCGGUUUGUCGCGUCUGCUGUGAAAACCCGAGGCUCAACCUCGGGCCUGCAGUGGGUACGGGCAGACUAGAGUGCGGUAGGGGAGAUUGGAAUUCCAGGUGUAGCGGUGAAAUGCGUAGAUAUCUGGAGGAACACCGGUGGCGAAGGCGGCAUCCUGGACCAACACUGACGCUGAGGAGCGAAAGCCAGGGGAGCAAACGGG